rnacentral:rRNA from 1 species
UACGUAGGUGGCAAGCGUUGUCCGGAUUUAUUGGGUUUAAAGGGUGCGUAGGCGGCCUUGUAAGUCAGUGCUGAAAUAUCCCGACUUAACCGGGAGGGUGGCAUUGAUACUGCAGGGCUUGAGUAAAGUUGAGGUUGGCGGAAUUGACGGUGUAGCGGUGAAAUGCUUAGAGAUCGGCAGGAACACCCAGGGGGAAACCAGCCGACUGGGCAAGUGCUGACGCUGAGGUGCGAGAGCGUGGGGAGCGAACCGG